rnacentral:rRNA from 1 species
UACGUAGGGUGCGAGCGUUAAUCGGAAUUACUGGGCGUAAAGCGUGCGCAGGCGGUCUUUUAAGUCAGAUGUGAAAUCCCCGGGCUUAACCCGGGAACUGCGUUUGAAACUGGAAGGCUAGAGUGUGGCAGAGGGGGGUGGAAUUCCACGUGUAGCAGUGAAAUGCGUAGAGAUGUGGAGGAACACCGAUGGCGAAGGCAGCCCCCUGGGCUAACACUGACGCUCAUGCACGAAAGCGUGGGGAGCAAACAGG